UACGGAGGGGGCUAGCGUUGUUCGGAAUUACUGGGCGUAAAGCGCACGUAGGCGGGUUGUUAAGUCAGGGGUGAAAUCCUGGAGCUCAACUCCAGAACUGCCUUUGAUACUGGCAACCUAGAGACUGGAAGAGGUUAGUGGAAUUCCCAGUGUAGAGGUGAAAUUCGUAGAUAUUGGGAAGAACACCAGUGGCGAAGGCGGCUAACUGGUCCAGCACUGACGCUGAGGUGCGAAAGCGUGGGGAGCAAACAGG
rnacentral:rRNA from 1 species